GACGAACGCUGGCGGCGUGCUUAACACAUGCAAGUCGAACGGAAAGGCCCUGCUCUUGUUGGGUGCUCGAGUGGCGAACGGGUGAGUAACACGUGUGUAACCUGCCCUUGACUUUGGGAUAACUUCAGGAGACUGGGGCUAAUACCGGAUAGGAGCUCCUGCAGCAUGGUGGUGGUUGGUAAGAUUCGGCGGUUGGGGAUGGACUCGCGGCUUAUCCGCUUGUUAGGCGGGUAGUGGCUUACCAAGGCUUUGACGGGUAGCCGGCCUGAGAGGGUGACCGGGCACAAGGGGACUGAGAGACGGACCAGACGCGAACGGGAGGCAGCAGGGGGGAAUAUGGCACAAUGGGGGGGAGCCUGAUACAGCAGCGCCGGGUGCGGGAUGACGGCCUUCGAGUGGUAAACCGCUUUCGCAGGUGACGAAGCGUGAGUGACGGUAAUGGGUAAAGAAGCACCGGCUAACUACGUG
rnacentral:rRNA from 1 species